rnacentral:tRNA from 1 species
UCUCUGGUGGUCUAGUGGCUAGGUCUCUGCACUCUCAAUGCGGGGGACCUGGGUUCAAUCCCUGAUCAGGGAU